UCUAUGGUUUGGACCUUGGCUCUUUGGUCUUGCAGCUUUUCAUCUUCGGAAAAUUUGAAAACUAGGCUUGAUUCAGGUCAAAGAAUAGAGAUAGAAAGGGCAGAGAAACUCAAUCAAGGUUCCAUCAAAGCCAUAUAUUUUUCUUUUCUAUCUAUCUCUAUUUUUUCAAUUUUUCCUCUCUUUCCCAUCUCCCCCUUUCAUGGCCGCUGAUGGAUUCUUAAACAGGGGUUUUCUUGUGGCUUUAAAAGGAAGAAUGGAGGGGAAAGGGGGAACGAGGGUGGUCCAAUGAUGGCAUGGCCAAGGUAGCCAUGGCCUACAAUGAGAUGGCCCCAGCUCAAGAAUGGCAUCUGGCCAUGCAUAUGAGAAAGGGAAGAGGG
rnacentral:lncRNA from 1 species